UACGUAGGGACCGAGCGUUGUCCGGAAUCAUUGGGCGUAACGAGCGUGUAGGCGGCUUGUUAAGUCUUGCGUGAAAUCUCGGGGCUCAACCCCGAGCGGUCGUGAGAAACUGGCAGGCUAGAGUGCGGGAGAGGAGAGUGGAAUUCCUGGUGUAGCGGUGAAAUGCGCAGAUAUCAGGAAGAACACCCGUGGCGAAGGCGGCUCUCUGGAACGCAACUGACGCUGAGACGCGAAAGCGUGGGGAGCAAACAGG
rnacentral:rRNA from 1 species